GAGGCGCUCCUGGAGGAGGACGUCGGCCUGCCGGAGCUGGACAAGGUCGUGUACAUGCAUGGCGUCGACAAGGAGGGCCAUCCCGUGUGCUACAACGUCUACGGUGAGUUCCACGACAAGGAGCUCUACGAGAAGACAUUCGGCGACGCGGACAAGCGGCGCAAGUUCCUCAAGUGGAGGAUCCAGUACCUCGAGAAGGGGAUCAGGGAGAAGCUGGACUUCACUCCUGGUGGCAUCUCCUCCAUGGUUCAGGUGACAGAUCUCAAGAACUCGCCACGGAUCGGGAAGCAUCGGCAGGUCACGAAGCAAGCCGUCACUCUGCUCCAGGACAACUACCCCGAGUUCAUCGCCAAGAAGGUGACACAUAGCAUCUUUAAUACACACUCUUCUGGUCUUGUUUUGCCAUUGAAUUAACUGGAAAGGAGCAACGAUGCUUACCAAACUGUCAGGUGUUCAUCAAUGUUCCAUGGUGGUAUUUGGCUGUCAACCGGAUGAUG
rnacentral:lncRNA from 1 species